rnacentral:lncRNA from 1 species
UCUCUGUCUUGUUUUCCUCCUUUCUUCCUGUACUGUGUGAUGGUAGCCGGGGUUCCUUGUGUCUAUGGCAGGCCUGUGCUGUGGGGUAGAGGGCAGAGUAAGGGAUGUUUCAACUCAGAGGAAAUCACAAGAGCAGAGCAUGGCAAGAUCAAAGAUUAUAUCAACCCACCUGUGAAAUAUCAGAAACUGCAUCUUGCUGAAAAGACAAAAAACUGCAUAAAAUAUACCUGAUUGGAUAUUGGCUAAAUAUUCUGAACAGAAUAGAAUAUGACUUUGUAAAAAUGAGAUGGAAUAAUUAAAUAAAUUGUCUUUUAUCUUUCAUUAUUAGACAAUAA